rnacentral:rRNA from 1 species
GUCCAGACUCCUACGGGAGGCAGCAGUGGGGAAUAUUGGGCAAUGGGCGCAAGCCUGACCCAGCAACGCCGCGUGAAGGAAGAAGGCUUUCGGGUUGUAAACUUCUUUUAAGAGGGAAGAGCAGAAGACGGUACCUCUUGAAUAAGCCACGGCUAACUACGUGCCAGCAGCCGCGGUAAUACGUAGGUGGCAAGCGUUGUCCGGAUUUACUGGGUGUAAAGGGCGUGCAGCCGGGAGUGCAAGUCAGAUGUGAAGUCCCGCGGCUCAACCGCGGAACUGCAUUUGAAACUGUGCUUCUUGAGUGCUGGAGAGGCAGACGGAAUUCCUAGUGUAGCGGUGAAAUGCGUAGAUAUUAGGAAGAACACCAGUGGCGAAGGCGGCUUACUGGACAGUAACUGACGUUGAGGCUCGAAAGCGUGGGGAGCAAACAGGAUUAGAUACCCGG